UACGAAGGGGGCUAGCGUUGCUCGGAAUGACUGGGCGUAAAGGGCGCGUAGGCGGUUCAUACAGUCAGAUGUGAAAUUCCUGGGCUCAACCUGGGAAUGGCAUUGGAAACUGGCGGACUCGAGUGUGGCAGAGGGGGGUGGAAGUUCCGCGUGUAGCAGUGAAAUGCGUAGAGAUGCGGAGGAACACCGAUGGCGCAAGGCAGCCCCCCUGGGACGUAACACUGACGCUCAGGCACGAA
rnacentral:rRNA from 1 species